AUUGAACGCUGGCGGCAGGCUUAACACAUGCAAGUCGAGCGAGUGGCGGACGGGUGAGUAAUGUUUGGGGAUCUGCCCGAUGGAGGGGGAUAACUACUGGAAACGGUGGCUAAUACCGCAUACUAUCGGAUGAACCCAAAUGGGAUUAGCUAGUUGGUGGGGUAAAGGCUCACCUAGGCGACGAUCUCUAGCUGGUCUGAGAGGAUGACCAGCCACACUGGGACUGCGACACGGCCCAGACUCCUACGGGAGGCAGCAGUGGGGAAUAUUGCACAAUGGGGGCAACCCUGAUGCAGCCAUGCCGCGUGUAUGAAGAAGGCCUUCGGGUUGUAAAGUACUUUCAGUGGGGAGGCGUUAACCGCAGAAGAAGCACCGGCUAACUCCGUGCCAGCAGCCGCGGUAAUAC
rnacentral:rRNA from 1 species